CGUUGCUGUGGCCGCAACGGCGGCGGCGCGCCCCGCCCUCCCCCGCGCGCCUUGGUUGCCACGGUGACGGUGACGCCGCGGCCAUGUCGGACCUGGGCUCAGAGGAGGCUGAGGAGAUCGAGGCCGAUUUGGGGGAGUAUGACGGUGAACGCAAUUCAGAAGGUGAGCGACAUGGACGUGGAAAAGCACGCCUACCCAAUGGUGAUACAUACGAUGGAGAAUAUGAACACGGUUUCAGAAGUGGACGGGGGACCUACAGAUUUAGAAGUGGUGCUUACUAUACUGGAGAAUAUCUUCAAAACAAAAAGCAUGGCCAGGGUACUUUUUUUUAUCCAGAUGGAUCAAAAUAUGAAGGUGACUGGGUGAAUGACCAGAGACAUGGCUAUGGAGAGUAUACGUAUGCAAAUGGAGACAUCUAUACUGGAGAAUGGUUUAACCACAACAAGCAUGGGCAAGGUACAUAUGACUAUAAAGACACGGGAUCUAAGUAUGUUGGUGGUUGGGUAAAUGGAAACCAGGAAGGAGAAGCUGAAGUUAUCCACCUAAACCAUAGAUUUAAGGGCAAGUUUUUGAACGGAAAUCCUGUAGGUCGUGGCAAGUAUGUUUUUGAUAUUGGAUGUGAACAGCAUGGUGAAUACAUACUAUCAGAGCAGGAUAAAGGAGAAGAAGAGGAGGAACCCUCAUUACUUGUUGCACCAAAAUGGAAAGCAUCAGAAAUUACCAAAUUAACACUCUGGACUCCUCAUGGGGAAAACCUACCUUCUCCCAGAGAAGCAUCCCUAGUGACAGCAGCAGAAGCAGUGGAAGAAAGAGCAGCGGCAGGAAUAACUGAAGAGGAGAAAAUACCAUCAAUUGCAGUCACUGAUGAAUCUGCUGAGGGUAGGGAUGAUGAGCCUUCUCUUCAUGAAGUAUCCAGUGAAGUUUUUAGCGCAGAAAGGGAUGCAGGAGAGGAAGACGAGGGAAGCAGAGAGGAAGAAGAAAACAAAGAUCAGGAGGAUCAAGGAACUGCUAGUUUAGAGGAUAAGGAGGAUGAAUCAAAAGAAGCAGAGUAAUGGGAUACAACUAAAGACAAAGAGCCAAAAAAAGGAAAUUUCAGAGUAAAUCAUUUAUUACGCUCUUCACAGAAACACAUGCCCAGCGAAGGGAUCUAGGAAAGAAUUUACCAGCAGAGUUACUAGCAGGGUCAUUGCUUUGACAUGAAAGAGGGAGCUUUGUACAGAAGAGACAAGACCCAGAGACUGUUCUGGGAGGAGAGACGAGGACAUUUUGCCACUUCUGAAAUGAACUAAAAACAAACUGGAGGCCUGUGUGGUGAAAACUGAACUUGUUUCAUCAUCCCAAUUCAUACCUGGAUUUGAUGAUCAAAAUAUAUUCACUCCUUCUUAUGCAUCAACAGUGGUAGUAAAAAUAUGUCUGAAGACUGAAUUCUCUGGUUGGUCAUACCAAGGCAGAUGGUAAGGAAAACUGGGGUGAAUAAUUCUGCCACUGGUGAUAAUACAAAAACAAACAAAAAGCCUUGGCGACCAAGUCUGAAGCACAGCCCCCACUUGUGAAGCUGGCAAGAAAACCCUUCUCCACUUCAUUCUGUAGCUGAGCACCGAAGUUAUGAACUUACAGUGACUCGAAAAACAGACAACUUCUUAAAGAGUGACUCUCUGAAUGUAGCUGCAGGGUACACUGACAACACCACAGGGAGGAGAGGGAAGGCUCCUAGUCCUGUUUCUAAAGGAAGGAGGCUAGCUCCAGACAGAGAGGUUUCCAAAUGUGCCUCUUGUCUGCAGGUGUUACGUUCGCUUUUCCAGGGGAGUUAGAUGAAAAUCUUCUCCAAAGAUUUAGCUGCUAGUCACAUGCCGU